rnacentral:rRNA from 1 species
UACGAAGGGUGCAAGCGUUACUCGGAAUUACUGGGCGUAAAGCGUGCGUAGGUGGUUCGUUAAGUCCGAUGUGAAAGCCCUGGGCUCAACCUGGGAAUGGCAUGGGAUACUGGCGGGCUAGAGUGCGGUAGAGGGUGGCGGAAUUCCCGGUGUAGCAGUGGAAUGCGUAGAUAUCGGGAGGAACAUCUGUGGCGAAGGCGGCCACCUGGACCAGCACUGACACUGAGGCACGAAAGCGUGGGGAGCAAACAGG